rnacentral:rRNA from 1 species
CUUCGGUAAAGAGCGGCGGACGGGUGAAAGGGUAACCUACCCUGUACACACGGAUAACAUACCGAAAGGUAUGCUAAUACGGGAUAAUAUAUUUGGGAGGCAUCUCUUAAAUAUCAAAGGUGAGCCAGUACAGGAUGGACCCGCGUCUGAUUAGCUAGUUGGUAAGGUAACGGCUUACCAAGGCGACGAUCAGUAGCCGACCUG